rnacentral:rRNA from 1 species
GCUGUUCGGCGGUGUUUUUGGGGGCCCCGCAGAAUAUCCCAUGUGGCUCAGAUUGAACGCUGGCGGCAGGCCUAACACAUGCAAGUCGAGCGGUAGAGAGAAGCUUGCUUCUCUUGAGAGCGGCGGACGGGUGAGUAAUGCCUAGGAAUCUGCCUGGUAGUGGGGGAUAACGUUCGGAAACGGACGCUAAUACCGCAUACGUCCUACGGGAGAAAGCAGGGGACCUUCGGGCCUUGCGCUAUCAGAUGAGCCUAGGUCGGAUUAGCUAGUUGGUGAGGUAAUGGCUCACCAAGGCGACGAUCCGUAACUGGUCUGAGAGGAUGAUCAGUCACACUGGAACUGAGACACGGUCCAGACUCCUACGGGAGGCAGCAGUGGGGAAUAUUGGACAAUGGGCGAAAGCCUGAUCCAGCCAUGCCGCGUGUGUGAAGAAGGUCUUCGGAUUGUAAAGCACUUUAAGUUGGGAGGAAGGGUUGUAGAUUAAUACUCUGCAAUUUUGACGUUACCGACAGAAUAAGCACCGGCUAACUCUGUGCCAGCAGCCGCGGUAAUACAGAGGGUGCAAGCGUUAAUCGGAAUUACUGGGCGUAAAGCGCGCGUAGGUGGUUUGUUAAGUUGGAUGUGAAAUCCCCGGGCUCAACCUGGGAACUGCAUUCAAAACUGACUGACUAGAGUAUGGUAGAGGGUGGUGGAAUUUCCUGUGUAGCGGUGAAAUGCGUAGAUAUAGGAAGGAACACCAGUGGCGAAGGCGACCACCUGGACUAAUACUGACACUGAGGUGCGAAAGCGUGGGGAGCAAACAGGAUUAGAUACCCUGGUAGUCCACGCCGUAAACGUUGUCAACUAGCCGUUGGAAGCCUUGAGCUUUUAGUGGCGCAGCUAACGCUAUUUUAAAGGU